CCCUUAGAUGUUCUGGGCCGCACGCGCGCUACACUGAUGCAUUCAACGAGUCCAACCUUGACCGAGAGGUCCGGGUAAUCUUUGAAACUGCAUCGUGAUGGGGCUAGAUUAUUGCGAUUAUUAAUCUUCAACGAGGAAUGCCUAGUAAGCGUGAUUCAUCAAAUCGCGUUGAUUACGUCCCUGCCCUUUGUACACACCGCCCGUCGCUCCUACCGAUUGAGUGUGUUGGUGAGGAGUUUGGAUUGGCCUCGGAAGGUGGUUCGCCACCGUCCGUAGCUGAGAAGUUCUCCAAACCGCCCCACUUAGAGGAAGGAGAAGUCGUAACA
rnacentral:rRNA from 1 species